UGGGGAAUCUUGCGCAACGGGGGAAACCCUGACGCAGCGACGCCGCGUGCGGGAUGAAGGCCUUCGGGUUGUAAACCGCUUUCAGCAGGGACGAGGCCUUAUGGUGACGGUACCUGCAGAAGAAGCUCCGGCUAAAUACGUGCCAGCAGCCGCGGUAAUACGUAUGGAGCAAGCGUUAUCCGGAUUCAUUGGGCGUAAAGCGCUCGUAGGCGGUCUGUUAGGUCGGCAAGUUAAAUCCGGGGGCUCAACCCCCGUCCGCUUCCGAUACCGGCAGACUUGAGUUUGGUAGGGGAAGGUGGAAUUCCUAGUGUAGCGGUGGAAUGCGCAGAUAUUAGGAAGAACACCGGUGGCGAAGGCGGCCUUCUGGGCCAUAACUGACGCUGAGGAGCGAAAGCUAGGGGGGCGAACAGG
rnacentral:rRNA from 1 species